GUUGUGGCUCAGUGGUAGAUCACUCACCUCACAUGUGCGAGGCCCUAGGUUCGAUCCUCAGCAUCACA
rnacentral:tRNA from 1 species